CCAGGUGGUCACAGGUGUGCAUGAGAGCAAGGAGCUCCUACACAGCCCCUCACCUCCCCCUCCCCCGUCUUGUGAGGACGUAGGUCUGCACUGAAAGAAGACAGAGAAGAUGUAUGUGAAGGGAUAACAAGCCUGCAAUCCAUCUAUACUUCACAGAACUUCCCGUACCUGCUGUAGCUAGUGUCGCAUGCGUGAACUAGCAAACCAUUACAGAACAGUCACGCUACAGUGAGAGGAUCAACAUGGCAUGUCAGCCACUACGAGCCCACUGACCAUCAACACCCAGGAGCAGACUUCGCACCACAUCACGGUGUCCUAGACCCUAAAGAGCAAAUGUCUCAGUAGUUCAGGAAGAAACGAAUAAAACAAACCAUGGAAAUGGCCGACCACUUUCUUCUAUCGAGGGAUUAGCCAUCGCUGACAGCUCAACCGGGCUUCUGGGGGAUUCACAUUUCUAAAUCAUCCAAAAAAUUAAGGACUAAAAUAUUACAAGAAACAAUAAAGAUGGAAUUGUGGCCUGCCAAGGCUUCUCAGUGCCAAGAAAUCUGUAAGAUUCCCUCCUGCUCCUGACGGGUUUUGCAGGUUGUCAAAUACAAAGCACAGGUGUGAACUAAUGGCUGCAAAUUGCCUUUUUGGAAAGUAAGACGCUGACUGCGAGAUAUUGUCUGGUAUUAAAGUGAAAGGGGAUGGUGACGGUAUA